rnacentral:rRNA from 1 species
AAGAGCUCGUAGGCGGUUUGUCGCGUCUGCUGUGAAAUCCCCGAGGCUCAACCUCGGGCUGCAGUGGGUACGGGCAGACUAGAGUGCGGUAGGGGGAGAUUGGAAUUCCUGGUGUAGCGGUGGAAUGCGCAGAUAUCAGGAGGAACACCGAUGGCGAAGGCAGAUCUCUGGGCCGUAACUGACGCUGAGGAGCGAAAGCGUGGGGAGCGAACAGGAUUAGAUACCCUGGUAGUCCACGCCGUAAACGUUGGGCGCUAGAUGUAGGGACCUUUCCACGGUUUCUGUGUCGUAGCUAACGCAUUAAGCGCCCCGCCUGGGGAGUACGGCCGCAAGGCUAAAACUCAAAGGAAUUGACGGGGGCCCGCACAAGCGGCGGAGCAUGCGGAUUAAUUCGAUGCAACGCGAAGAACCUUACCAAGGCUUGACAUACACCGGAAACGGCCAGAGAUGGUCGCCCCCUUGUGGUCGGUGUACAGGUGGUGCAUGGUUGUCGUCAGCUCGUGUCGUGAGAUGUUGGGUUAAGUCCCGCAACGAGCGCAACCCUCGUUCUAUGUUGCCAGCGCGUUAUGGCGGGGACUCAUAGGAGACUGCCGGGGUCAACUCGGAGGAAGGUGGGGAUGACGUCAAAUCAUCAUGCCCCUUAUGUCUUGGGCUUCACGCAUGCUACAAUGGCCGGUACAAAGGGCUGCGAUACCGUAAGGUGGAGCGAAUCCCAAAAAGCCGGUCUCAGUUCGGAUUGAGGUCUGCAACUCGACCUCAUGAAGUCGGAGUCGCUAGUAAUCGCAGAUCAGCAACGCUGCGGUGAAUACGUUCCCGGGCCUUGUACACACCGCCCGUCAAGUCAUGAAAGUCGGUAACACCCGAAGCCGGUGGCCUAACCC